GCCUGGGUGGCUCAGUCGGUUGAGCGUCUGACUUCAGCUCAGGUCACGAUCUCGCAGUCUGUGAGUUCGAGCCCCGCGUCAGGCU
rnacentral:tRNA from 1 species